CAGUCGCCGCGGGAAUACGAAGGGGGCUAGCGUUGUUCGGAUUUACUGGGCGUAAAGCGCACGUAGGCGGACUUUUAAGUCAGGGGUGAAAUCCCGGGGCUCAACCCCGGAACUGCCUUUGAUACUGGAAGUCUUGAGUAUGGUAGAGGUGAGUGGAAUUCCGAGUGUAGAGGUGAAAUUCGUAGAUAUUCGGAGGAACACCAGUGGCGAAGGCGGCUCACUGGACCAUUACUGACGCUGAGGUGCGAAAGCGUUGGGAGCAAACAGGAUUAGAUACCCGAGUAGUCCCUGUCUCUUAUAC
rnacentral:rRNA from 1 species